rnacentral:rRNA from 1 species
UACGAAGGGGGCUAGCGUUGCUCGGAAUCACUGGCGUAAAGGGUGCGUAGGCGGGUCUUUAAGUCAGAGGUGAAAUCCUGGAGCUCAACUCCAGAACUGCCUUUGAUACUGAGGAUCUUGAGUUCGGGAGAGGGUGAGUGGAACUGCGAGUGUAGAGGUGAAAUUCGAUGACUAUUCGCAAGAACACCAGUGGCGGAAGGCGGCUCACUGGCCCCGAUACUGACGCUGAGGCACGAAAGCGUGGGGAGCCAAACAGGG